rnacentral:rRNA from 1 species
GACGAACGCUGGCGGCGUGCCUAAUACAUGCAAGUAGAACGCUGAAGGAGGAGCUUGCUUCUCUGGAUGAGUUGCGAACGGGUGAGUAACGCGUAGGUAACCUGCCUGGUAGCGGGGGAUAACUAUUGGAAACGAUAGCUAAUACCGCAUAAGAGUAGAUGUUGCAUGACAUUUGCUUAAAAGGUGCAAUUGCAUCACUACCAGAUGGACCUGCGUUGUAUUAGCUAGUUGGUGGGGUAACGGCUUACCAAGGCGACGAUACAUAGCCGACCUGAGAGGGUGAUCGGCCACACUGGGACUGAGACACGGCCCAGACUCCUACGGGAGGCAGCAGUAGGGAAUCUUCGGCAAUGGACGGAAGUCUGACCGAGCAACGCCGCGUGAGUGAAGAAGGUUUUCGGAUCGGAAAGCUCUGUUGUAAGAGAAGAACGAGUGUGAGAGUGGAAAGUUCACACUGUGACGGUAUCUUACCAGAAAGGGACGGCUAACUACGUG